AUUGAACGCUGGCGGCAUGUUUUACACAUGCCAGUCGAACGGUAACAGCACUUCGGUGGCUGACGAGUGGCGAACGGGUGAGUAAUACAUCGGAACGUGCCUAGUAGUGGGGGAUAACUACUCGAAAGAGUAGCUAAUACCGCAUGAGAUCUAAGGAUGAAAGCAGGGGACCUUCGGGCCUUGCGCUACUAGAGCGGCUGAUGGCAGAUUAGGUAGUUGGUGGGAUAAAAGCUUACCAAGCCGGCGAUCUGUAGCUGGUCUGAGAGGACGACCAGCCACACUGGGACUGAGACACGGCCCAGACUCCUACGGGAGGCAGCAGUGGGGAAUUUUGGACAAUGGGCGCAAGCCUGAUCCAGCAAUGCCGCGUGCAGGAUGAAGGCCUUCGGGUUGUAAACUGCUUUUGUACGGAACGAAAAGCCCUCUUCUAAUACAGGAGGGUCAUGACGGUACCGUAAGAAUAAGCACCGGCUAACUACGUG
rnacentral:rRNA from 1 species